rnacentral:rRNA from 1 species
GGAUUGAACGCUGGCGGCAUGCCUUACACAUGCAAGUCGAACGGGAAGCGCGGGAGCAAUCCUGGCGGCGAGUGGCGAACGGGUGAGUAAUACUAUCGGAACGUGCCCAGUAGUGGGGGAUAGCCCGGCGAAAGCCGGAUUAAUACCGCAUACGACCUGAGGGUGAAAGCGGGGGAUCGCAAGACCUCGCGCUACUGGAGCGGCCGAUAUCAGAUUAGCUAGUUGGUGGGUAAAGCCUACCAAGGCAACGAUCUGUAGUUGGUCUGAGAGGACGACCAGCCACACUGGGACUCGAGACCACGGCCCGAGACUCCUACGGGAGGCAGCAGUGGGGAAUUUGGACAAGUGGGCGACAAGCCUGAUCCAGCAAUGCCGCGUGCAGGAAGAGCCGUUGGUGUAACUG